rnacentral:rRNA from 1 species
ACCAUAGCUGGUCUUUGAGAGACGUACAGCCACACUGGGACUGAGACACGGCCCAGACUCCUACGGGAGGCAGCAGUGGGGAAUCUUGCACAAUGGGGUCACCCCUGAUGCAGCCAUGCCGCGUGGAGGAAGACACCCUAUGGGGGGUAAACUCCUUUUCUGAAUGAAGAAACCCCUGUAGCUUCACGGCGCGACGGUAGUUCAGGAAUAA